GGGGUUGUGGCUCAAUGGUAGAGCGCUCACCUGGCAUGUGUAAGGCACUGGGUUUGAUUCUCAGCACCA
rnacentral:tRNA from 1 species